GAAGGCGUCCGUUUCUUAAGGGUUCCGCUGUCUACCACUGGAUACUUUCGGUGCCGGACCCCAACCUUGCUGUGUCUGUGACUUCAGCUCCUCCGUAAGGCGGUGACAGAGUCGUGGAAGUUAGGAGGGUAGUGUGAAAGGUCAGGACCCAGCUUAGCUCAGAAGGACACAGCCAGCCACUGCCCGUGACGCCCUUCGGUGUCCGGUGACAAAGCUAGGAGCACCCUGCCUGAUUCGAGCCCGCCCUGCCAAGGGAGGGGCCCACCUGCUGUGUCUCCUGCCCAGAGCUGUGCCCUCUGGGGCUCCCGAGGCCCAGAUGAGGCUGUGAAGUGUGGCCUGUGGUUAAGAACCAUCUCCAGAGCGGAAAAACCAGGUUUCCUCGUCUAUCAAAUGGGAACUAUCAUGCCUACUUCAGAAGAGCAUCUGUGCAGAUUGAGUGAUCCCCAGCAGUGUCUGCAUGUAGUAGGUGCUCAGCCAUGCUCCCCAGGCCAGGACACAGCACCGCCCACUCCCGCUCAGCCCAGCCCCUGCCUCCUCCAGCCCCAGCCCUCCCCUGGGACGCUCCCUUAUCCUCUCUCUCUGCCUCACACUCCACCCAGCCAAAGGACUGCACCACACAAUGACACCAAAGGUGGUCUCUCUGGCCCCCCAGACAGGGGCCCCGCCCCUGCUUCUUUGGGUAAAAGAAAACCAAGACUUCCUUCCUGAGCUGUCAGUCACCCUGACCAGCCAGCACCAUGCUGGUUUAGUAUUUCCUCCCGCCCCAGGGAAGACACGGACCUCACAGGAAAGGGAGCCAGGAAGGAUACAGUUCACUGUGCCUUCCUCAGGAAACGAUGUAUUUCUUCGGGCGGCCACCUGGACCCCUGGCUCCCUAGAUUCUUUGUCAAGCCCCGUCCCCACCCCAACAGCUCUGGGGGCUUCCACAAAGGGGUGUGGGGCCUGUGCUUUCCUCACACUCCGUACUCUCUCAACCCAUUUCUGUGUGAUCCUGACGAGCUCUGCCCCACAACCAGAGGCCAGGGGGAAGACCCAGCCCAUGGUGGGUGCCGGGUCUUCAGGAGGAAGAGGUGGGUGGUGGCCGUGGAAGGUCCUUUCUCUGAAGGGACUCAGACCUGCAAAAAGGGUAGGCAGGUGGGAGCGGGCCACGCAGCUGCCAACACUUCCUCCCUGGAGUCAGACUGCCACACAGCUUUAUUAGGGACCUGCAGAGAGGCAGGGGCCCAGCUCCCCCCCCGCCACCCCGCCAGGCAUCAAGAGCAAGUACAGUGGGCUCCAGACCCCCCCAGGGCCCCUGAGCACACAGUCCAGGGCGACCCAGCCUGGCCCCAGCUGGGGUGCUCAGGAGUACUCGAGGGUGAACUUGGCAUGGAACCUGCUCAGCUUCUCCAGCAGCAGCCGCAGUUUCUCCAAGGGGGGCAGAAUGGUCAUCCUGAAAGGAGUUGACAGUGAGUGAAGGGCCAGGGUGGCGGGACAGGCAGUGAGGGCCAGGCCUCACCGGAAGUGGUAGGUGCCUUCCCGCUGCCCAAAGCCGCUCCCUGGCACCACGCAGAUGCCGGUCUCCUCCAGGAGGCGCAGGCAGAAGAACAUAUCCGGGGCCAGGCCCAGCUCCUGUGGACAGAGAGCCAUCAGAGAGGGAUGCCCGGCCCCCACUGCCCACCCCACAGGCCCCACCCCCGCCUGACCUGAGCGCGCUCCACCGCCCGCAGGGGCAACUGCACGCGCGGGAAGGAGUACAUGGCGCCCUGCACUGGGUUGCAGCUGAUGCCAGGAGCCUCAUUGAAGACCUGCUCGGUGAGCUUGGCCUUGGCCGCCAGCUCUGCCAGCACUGCCUGCUUCUCCUGUGGCCGCGGAGGGAGGGCCCAUCAGGGCAUGGCACUCGGCAUCCUCCCACCCCUGAUUAGGUCACCUGGACUCCCUCCUGCCCCCAACUCACAGCCUGGAACUGCGCGAAGGAGGGGUCGGUGGGCGCGGGUGGGCUGACCACCAGGUCCAGCAGAGCCUGGCCUGGCACCGGCGGGCACAGCCGCACACUCAUCAGCUUCAGCAUCUGCUGCUGCACUGCGGCGUCCAUGUUCACCACCUCCACAUAGCCGCCGCGGAACCCGCACCUGCGCACGUCCAGGUCAGGUGCGGAGGAGGGGGUGGCCCAUCGGGCAAGGAGGGCCAGGCCAUGGCCCGCGAGCCCCCACCCGCCUCGCACGCACGCACUCGCCCAUGUAGCCCUUGGAGGUGGAGUGGAAGGAGGCAAGCUCCUGCUGCCCGGCGUAGGGCGGCCCCAUCUCCAUGAGCACCUUCUUGAAUGAGUGGAACUGCGAGCCCGCGGCGUACACGUUGUCCUGGUACACCUGGAAGGGCGCAAGGCGUCACGGGGGCGGACUGUUGCCCGGCUUCCCGCUCCCCCGCGCCGCGCACCUCGUCCGCCAGCAGAAAGAGCCGCUCUUCGAAGGCGAAGCGGAUCACGGCCUCGAUGCACUCGCGGGUCUGCACCUGCCCUGGGGUGCGGGGGAGACAGCAGGGCUGGAUGCGCCUGGAGCGAACGGGAAGGAAGGGAGAAGGCUCGUGGACCCUGGUGAGGCCACCACCCUCCCUGCUCAGAGCUCCCCCUGCUCUACGUCCCUCUGUGUUAAAGGCCCUGCUCUCCAUGCCAGGACACAGGCAGGGUCAGCAAAGGUGAAGGCGGGAACACAGGAGGCCAAGAGCCACAGACACUGCCCAAGAGGAGCCUCCUGAACAGCCAUCUGAGAGGAAGCCUCUCCCUGCCAUGGACGCCCAGCAGGCCCUACCUGGCGA